GAACUUGCAGUCACAGCACCUGCUGGAUUUCCCGAUCAUCCACACAGAGGAUUUGAGACAGUCACCUAUAUGCUACAGGGGUCAGUUACACAUGAAGACUUUGAGGGGCAUAAGGGGACCAUCGGAGCAGGUGAUGUUCAAUGGAUGACUGCUGGAAGAGGCAUUGUCCACUCAGUGAUGCCUGCACCACAAGGAACCCAAAGGGGUCUUCAACUUUGGGUCAAUCUCUCCUCCAAAUAUAAAAUAGAAGCACAAAAUAUG